rnacentral:sRNA from 1 species
CCUGCCCAGCCGCCCACUGUCUGGCAGCCUGCAAGUCUCCAUUCAGAAGCGGCUCCGUGCUGCCCAGCGCUGGCGCCCUGGCGGCGCGGAAGCCCGCGGCCAAAUGACUCGACGGGGGCAAAGGAGGACAACAGUUCCCACCAGAAAUGAGCCCCUGAGUCCUGAGUUGGUGGCAGCUGCAUCUGCUGCUGUGUUUUGACAAGCAAACAAGCCAGAACUGCUCAGGCAGCUCCGUAGCAUGAGGAAGAGUCAGGGGCACAGAGAGAUGGAGAGAGACCUAAUUAGGAAAAAUAUAUUCAAGGGGAAGAGAUGUAAUAGAUUUCACAUUAUGGCAGUUACUAAAGAAGCACGUGAACAGACACAUCACCUUCGCUUUGGGGUAUGGAAUUUGAUAAGCAGUUAGCCACAGAAUAUGAACAACCCCUUUAGAAUGAGAUUGAAGAACUGAUCCAGGGGACAAAAGAGGGGAAACUGAGAGUUCCCAAUUAAUAAUGAAGCAGAGAAUCAGCCAGAAUCUCAUCCAAAUACUCUAUCCAGCUUCAUGUCUAAGAUCUCUGGUGGACUUUUUCUGCCCGUGGACGCCACUGAAGAAGCAUCGUUAAAGUCUCCCUUCACCCUGCUGUCAUGUCUAAGUCAGCGUCUCCAAAAGAGCCCGAACAGCUGAGGAAGCUCUU